rnacentral:lncRNA from 1 species
AUUUGAAAAGGCAGAGAAAGAAGGGUACAUCGGGCUGCUUCAGGAAGACUGGAAUAGAGACCUUCACAGAAGAGAGAGGCCCCAUAUCAGAAGGAAGUGUGACCCAGAAGGAUGGAGCUCUUCAGAGACAGGCUUCUUUGAGAAUCAAGAAAGAUUCAGAACAGCAAUGAAUGAAGGUUCCUGUUGCUCCACAUUCUCACCAGCACUUGGUUUCAUCAGUGUUCUGACUUCAGCCAUUCUAACAGGUUUGAACUGCAUGGACUGCUUAUAUGUGAAUUUUCUUCCACUUCUGCCACCCCUGGAACAGCAAGACCAACCCAUCCUUUUCCUCCUCUUCUUCAGCAUACUCAAGGUGAAGACAACAAAGGAUGAAGAUCUUUAUGAUGAUCUACUUCCAUUUAAUAAAUAGUACUAUAUUGUACAUUCCACUGUAAAUGAGCAAACAUUACACUGGCAGCAGGGACCAGCAUCCUUUAUCAAGAGGCAGUUGUAGCUCAAGAGUUGCAUCUUGGUAGCAUCAAUACAGAAUUUAAGGAUUACAGAAGAUAUCUCAGUAAGUUACACUACUGGUUUGAAGAAAACUGUUUUGACCUCUAAUUUUUUCUCUUAUUCUAAUCUUCCUGUCAUUUUUUAAAGAACAAAAGAUGGCCUGUGUUAUCUUAUUUGGUUAUAUGAUUACAUAUUAUUAUGAUCAAUAACAUAUAUUAAAACUUAUUAAUCAAUGCUUCUUUAAUUUCAGAAAGUUCUCUAUACUUGGAAGAAAAAUAAAGAACGAUUUGCACUUCAUUUCCUUAGCAUGGAGUAGAGCAUUAAUCAUUAUCAUUUUUUCAUGCCACUAAAUCUUUGCAAUGAUAAUUCUUUAAUAGUAUUGGUCUACAUCCACUAGAUAAACAUUAUAGGCUUAUAAUGUGCCAGGCACUGUGCUAGACACUGGAGAUAACACUUUGAAUAAAACAGAAAUGGAACUCCCAUCAUGGAGCUCAGAAAUAACACUGAAAUGCUCCUGGAUUUUGAGCCAGCAAUAACAGCAGGAAGAAAACUGCACUCAAAACACUAUGAAUUUAUUUCCGCCAUUUAAAAAAAAAGAAUGAAGAAGGUAUUUCAAAUCCAGAAAAGAUAUUUUCUCAUCAUGAUAGCAGAUGUUAAAGAUAUUGGAAACAGUGCAAUUUCUCCUAGUGUAGAAGGAGGAGGAAGUUGGUAGACACACAGCUGAAAUAAAGGAAGCAGAAGGAAGAACACAGGCAGUGCUCAUCUUGCAGGAGGCUUGAGCACCCUAAGUCUAUUUAUAAAUCAGUUGUUCAAAACUAACAAGUAGUGUCGCACAUCAUGUUUAUAUUUUGAGGUAGCCGCAACAGCCUUUUAAAUGCACAAUGUAAUUGAAACACUAGCAUCGGAAAAGAGUACAGUUGCCAAUAUAAAUGGUAUUUUAGUGACCAAUGUUUCCUCGGCUCCAGAAGCUCCUGGAAGAUUGUCUCAGCUAUUCCUCAUGGAUCCAAAAGCCUAAUUUCACCUAUAAAUAAUCAAUGGAUAUUUUAUCUAUCUUCAAUUUCCAAUGAGGAUAAAUCAGCAGAGAAAAGACAACACUGGCAGCCUUAAAGAGAAAAGCAGUAAAAAUAAGAUUAUUUCAUUGCCAUUUUUUUAAAGAGAUGGGUUCUCACUGUGUUGACCAGGCUACAAUGCAGCAGCUAUUCACAGGCACAAUCAUAGUGCACUACAACCCCAAACUUUUGAGACUCAGGCAAUCUUCCUGCCUCAGCCUUCAGAGUAGCUGGGACUAUAGUCAUUGCCAUUUUAGAAACCAUUUUCAUUCACUGCAACUUUCACCAAAUAUUUAUUGAGUGCUCACCAUGUGCUAGCCACUGUUUGGUAUGCUGACAAUACAUGUCAGUGACCCAAACAAUGUUCCUCAUCUCAUAGAACUCACAUCUACUGGAGAAAGCAGACAAUAAAAAUUGUUUAAGAAAAGCAGAAACACUUUGCCAAGGGUUGAUAAACUAUGCAAUUCCCAUCAAAAUACCACCAUCAUUCUUCACAGAAUUAGGAAAAACAAUUUUAAAAUUCAUAUGAAAACAAAAAAGAACCCACAGAGCCAAAGCAAAACUAAGCACAAAGAACAAAUUGGGCAGAAUCACAUUACCUGACUUUAUACUAGAAGGCCAUAGACACCAAAACAGCAUGGUACUGGUAUAAAAAUAGGUACAGAGACCAAUGGGGGGAUAGAGAACCAAGAAAGAAACCCACAUACUUACAGCCAACUGACCUUUGACAAAGCAAACAAAAACAUAAAUUAGUAGGUAAAGGACACCCUAUUCAACAAAUGGUGCUGGGAUAGCUGGUAAGCCACAUAUAGAAGAAUGAAACUAGAUCCUCAUCUCUCACCUUAUAUAAAAAUCAACUCAAGAUGGAUCAAAAACUUAAAUCUACGUGCUGAAACUAUAAAAAUUCUAGAAGAUAACAUCAGAAAAACCCUUCUAGACAUUGGCUUAGGUAAAGACUUCAUGACCAAGAACCCAAAAGCAAAUGCAACAAAAACAAAGAUAAAUAGGUGAGACUUAAUUAAACAAAAGAGCCUCUGCACAGCAAUAGGAACAGUCAGCAGCGUAAACAGACAACCCACAGAGUGGGAGAAAAUCUUCACAAUCUAUGCAUCCGGCAAAGGACUAAUAUCUAGAAUCUACAAGGAACUCCAACAAAUUAGCAAGGAAAAAAACAAACAAUCCUAUCAAAAAGUGGGCUAAGGACAUGAAUAGACAAUUUUAAAAAGAAGAUAUACAAAUGACCAACAAACAUAUGAGAAAAUGUUCAAUAUCACUAAUGAUCAGGGAAAUGCAAAUCAAAACCACAAUGCAAUACUUUACUCCUGCAAGAACGGCAAUAAAAAAUCAAAAAAUAGUAGACGUUGGCAUGGAUAUGGUGAACAGAGAACACUUCUACACUGCUGGUGGGAAUGUAAACUAGUACAGCCACUAUGGAAAACAGUGUGGAGAUUCCUUAAAUAACUAAAAGUACAACUACCAUUUGAUCCAGCAAUCCCACUACUGGGUAUCUACCCAGAGGAAAAAAGUCAUUAUAUGAAAAAGAUACUUGCACACACAUUUAUAGCAGCACAAUUUGCAAUUGCAAAAAUGUGGAACCAACCCAAAUGCUCGUCAAUCGGUGAGUAGUUAAAGAAACUGUGGUAUAUUUAUAAGAUGGAAUACUACUCAGCCAUAAAAAGGAAUGAAUUAAUGGCAUUUGCAGUGACCUGGAUAAGACUGGAGACUAUUAUUCUAAGUGAAGUAACUCAGGGAUGGAAAACCAAACAUCAUAUGUUCUCACUCAUAAGUGGGAGCUACGCUAUGAGGAUGCAAAGGCAUAAGAAUGACACAAUGGACUCUAGGGACUCAGGGGAAAAGGGUGGGAAGGGGGUGAGGAAUAAAAGACUACGAAUAGGGUGAAGUGUAUACUGCUCGGGUGAUAGGUGCACCAAGAUCUCACAAAUCACCACUAAAGAACUUACCCAUGUAACCAAAUACCACCUGUUCCCCAAUAACCUAUGGGAAUAAAAAAAUAAAAUUUUAAAAAAAAAGAGAGAAAAUAAAGCAAGGUCAAUAGUCAGAGUUCUGUUAGAUAGAAUGGUUAGGGAAUUUAUCUCUGAAAAAGUAACACUCAAGGAGAGAUUAGAAGGAAAGAUAGAAACAAUACCUGUGGCUCUCUGAAGGAAGGGUGCUCCAGGAAGAGGGAACAGCAAGUGCAAAGGCCUGGAGGAAAAAGGAUGCUCUUCUUGUUGCCAGGACAGCAAGAAAACCAAGGAAAUUAGAAUAGAAUGAGGGAGAAUAGUGGCAAGAAAUGGAAUCAGAAACACAAAUAGCAGCCAAUUCACUUGAGGACUGGUGGGUCAUGAAAAGGGCUUUGGCUUAUAUUCUGAGUGAAACAGAGACCCAUUAAUGGUUUUAAGCAGAGG